rnacentral:lncRNA from 1 species
UUUGUAUUUUUAGUAGAGACGGGUUUUUUUUUUCUGGAAAUACACAUAAAAAUCUAGAAAUAUAACACAUUAUAGAAAUACCACAAGACCACAUAUCUGAGGGGAAAUUAGAACCCUCUGUGGGGUUACUGUGCUGAGUUACACCCUAACAAAUCUAUCCCCAAAGACACCUUAUAAGAGUGAACAGGACUUGCUAACCUAAAUAGGUGUAGAGCUAGCACUACUCCAGGGAAGUGGAAAUAGCAGCAAGUCAGCCAGGAAAAACAAUAGAGGUGUAAAUGAAGGGAAUAAUUAGGACACUAGAGCAUAACCAUCAUCAACACUUGCCUUGUAUCCUCAUUUCGGAAGAACUGCUGAAUGCUGGAUAUGAAAGCUAAUGUCUUUGAGAGUCAGUGGACAAGUCUGUAACAGGGACAUGCAUCUAUGCAAAAGCGACAGUGAGACUAACUCACGGAAGGGUAUUGUGGAAAGUGGUGUCUUUACCAUUGUUCUUUAAUGGUCUGGUCCAUGUGCCAUGGAUAACUAGUUUUCCUUGUGUUGCAUCUAGCUGGGACUGGACAGAGAAACAACAUCAUAUUGUAUCCAUGGAGAUAGUUGAAAGUGCUGUAAAAUGACAUCCUGCAGUUGUUUUGUUUUGUUUUUGGUAAAAGCCUAUCUAGUGAUAUCUGGGAGAUAUAUACAUAUAUAUAUACACACACACACACACAUAUAAAGAUACACAUAUAUAUGUAUAUAUACACAUGCAUGCUCACACACACACACACACACACACACACAUAUAUAUAUCCAGGUAUAAAGUGACAUCUGUAAUUUACCAAUGAGUGGCCUCCAGUCACCACACUUAAUUGGGAACAUGUUUUCCAUGGCAAAAACACAAUUCUGUUGCAAAGAAAGAGAAAAUUAUGCUGUAAUUUAACCAAUUACACACACAAUAGUGUAAUGAACAUUAUGUUAAUAUCUUUGACUCUGAAAUGGGAUAUCCAAGAGUUUUCUGGUUGAUCGACAGAACCAGAUGAAAACCAGUUUCUCCCCUGGAAUGAGAAAAUAUAUGAGGAGGCUGAUAUAAAGGCCCAAAAGAUAUUUUUGUCCAGAAACAAAAUGAGAAUUUUGCCUUACAAAAUUAAACUUGGAAGUAAAUGUUUCUAUUAUCAUGUGUCUUGAACAUCCAAAUAAGUGCUUACAAUGGAGAAAAAAAUCAGUAAGUUAAAAGACACAUAUAUAUGUAUAUAGAUAUGUGCAUAUAUAUGUAAACAUACAUAUGUGUAUAGAUAUUCACCUAUGUAAAUUCUUGUGGAGGAAUCAUAGAAUUAACAUGAUUUGUAGAGGGAAUUUAGAGUCCAAGUUGAAUUGUUUAAAUGUUAAUGGAUGUCAGGAUGUUAUUAGGCUUAUUGUUUUGUUUCAAAUAUUACAAAAUAUUUUAUAAGAAAAAUCCUGAAAAGAUUUUAAGAAGUCCUUGGCAAAAAAAAAAGAAAAAGAAAAAGAAAAAAAUACCAAGAUGAGAGAGUGGAUUGGGAAAGUGUUAGUAGCAAACUGAUUUUUGUUUGUUUGUUUACAUGAUGUCAAUCUUUUGGUUCUAUGAAACAUUUUUCCUACUGCCUUAAAUAUGAUACACAAUAAAUUAACAUUUGCCAACAAUAUGGUAUUUUUCUUGAAUUUUUGGAAACUUCUGAAGCAUUCACUAAGGAGUUACCAUUUUACAAGGAUGAGAAAAUAGAGCAGUCCAGUUACUGUGGCAUAAGAAAAGACUUUGUCAUACCUGGGGUUACAAGUCUAAUGAAAUCACAUGAACCGGGAGGAGAGUUUUUCAAAAAAACAGAAGUAAUAGUCGGGAAAGUAUAUUAAAUAAUUACAACUGUUAUGUGAUAAGAUACACAAUAAGGAUUUUAUAAAAUACAAUAUUAUUAAAUAAAAUCAUGUUUUUAAGAAGAUCCCUAAUUCAGAAGCACUCAUAAUUUAUAGUUAGUUUUUAUUACAUGAAGCCAGAGAAACAUGAGUCCUAUUAACAGUGAAUCUGGCAAGCGAGACAUGCAUACUAUUCAGGAGACACGGCAAUGGAGGGGAGCUAGCAUUGACAAUGUGCUCUUACAUUGAUACUGUGUUAGCAUGUGAGAAGUGAAGUUAGAUUAUUAUAUCAGGGAUAUAUUACAAAACUUAAAAACAUUGCAGAUACCUAUCUGGCAAGGAGAGUGAGAUAAAUCACAGGAAACUAGUGGCCCAUGGGUCUAAGACAAAGUUUCAUCACAAAUUACACAUCAGACAGGUAUUCAUCCUCUUUGAGGACUGUGAAUUAGAGUCCACACACCAGAAAGGACAAUAACUUCCAUUGGUGUGCCCUGAAGAGAUGCAAAGGUAGGAAGAGACCGUGCCUUAUAGUAGUCCCAUGUUUGAUCUUACAAGGAGUCUAAGUGGAGAUGAUGUGAACGCCAGGCCUGUGGGGGUCACUGUAAACUGAGCUACAGGAAACUUGGGUAUGGAAAAAUAUUGCCUGAAAUUUUGCUGCAAAUAGUCAGUUCUCUUUCUUUCUGGAAUCUGAGCAGGAAGGUAAAUGUCCAAAUUUCGUUCAUCAAGGCUUAGAUACUUUGCAUAAGGUCAGUAACACUGUGUUCCCUUGCCGAGGAUUAGGCAGCUAUAGUUCAGUGCAGAUUUGUCCUAGCUGACUGCCUGGGUCAAUACGAGAAUGAGGAUGUAAGUAAAAAAUCCAGCUCUGCCCUAAUCAAAGUUGUGGAAAUAAAAUAUUAUGAAUAUUAUUUGAUUAUUUCAAUCAAAUAUCAUUAUAUUAUUAUGAUAUUAUUUUCCAGAGACACAAAAUCUCUUGCCACUACAUUUUGAUAUUGAUCAAGGAAAAUAUUUAGAAGUGGCUCUCCACUAAGCGUUUUCUCUCCUGGUGCCAACAGCAAUACCUGGACAUCAGAGGCAGAUGCAGUCAAGGGAAGGAUCAUAAACUUUCUUUGGAAAGAGACCAUCUUACUACCAAGCCAGUCGGGGGCUUGGAUCUUGCCCUAACAGCAACUGAAGGAUUUGAGGCUUUUUCUGAAAAGGCAGCCCCAGGUCCUAGGGGUGAGUGAACACGAGACCAGAGCACAGGCUUAGGGGAAAAGCAUCAUUUCCUGAGACAGGACUGAGAUUUCCUCAAGAUAUCCACAUUUUCCAGGUCACUGAGUAUGGUAGAAAACUAUCUGAACCUUUCUGAACUAAACAAACCUUACAAAUUGACAAAAUGAAAAGGGACUGAAUAAAGCUGUUCAUUAUUGGAAGGAAAAAAAACACAAAAAUGUUAUCAUUACUUAUGUAUUAGGUUGGUGCAAAAGUCACUGCGGUUUUUGCCAUUAAAAGUAAUGGCAAAUAUAUAAAUAAAUAAUAGUAAGAUUAAUUGCAGUAUCCUGUGUUGGACAAGAGAACAGACAAUGCAUACAUUUUUAUCUUCCUGCAAGAUAUCUCAAGUUUGGAGUCUCGGAGGUGGGGAAGGAAUUAAUGUGCAAUGAUGUUAGAAAGGCCUUCACCCUGAGAAGAUGCACCUCCUCACAGGAUGUUUUUUACUCUCCAGGAGGCUCAGAUCCUGAUUGGGCUGAUGACACGAUGCCUGCGUCUCACAAUGGCGCUUUUUGUUUCAACUGUUUAUGCAGUUGGAGUUCUCCAUAUAAUUAAUAUGAACUAUCAUUUAUGGGGAUCCUUCUCAGAAGAACUGCUGAAUGCUGGAUAUGAAAGCUAAUGUCUUUGAGAGUCAGUGGACAAGUCUGUAACAGGGGCUUUGCUGCUGGAAGGAAAGCGACCAAGGGUCUGAUCCAAGGCAGCCUGGGGAUGAAUACAGUCAGUGCCACCACAGCAGGAACAGGCACAGUUCUGAUGGCUGUGGAAGUAAUAUAUAUCUUUUUAAGAAGAAUUUGUAUCUCUACUUAUAGCACAUUUUUUUCUGUAGUAAGUACUGUUGCACUAAUACAAUAAUAUAAAUAGGUUUUAUAUUCAGGAGGUUUCCUUGUGAAUUCUCACCAUGGAGCUAACUGGAGUCAUUGGACUUAUACAUAUUGGACUAUCUCUUGAAAUUUACAGGAUUUGGGCUUUUGAACCAUGCCAGGAAUAACGUACCGAAAAAAAAAUAACCUCUUCUCUCUGACCACUCUGAUGUUGUGUGCUUGGACAAUGGAAAAUGUUGUAAGGACUCAGAGUCCAGGGAGCACUUCCCUCUUGAUUUGAAACACUAGCUGAAGAGAAAACAGAAAACUGACAGCUGUAGCUACACCAUAAUUUCCAAGGAUUCUGAGCAACAAGCUAAGAUGACUGGGUCAUAUACAUUCAUUUUCCUCAAUGGCAUCCACAGUGAGUGAGAAGUUCAGGGAGUUAAAUGCAGGCUGUUGUGAAAUAAGAAGCAACUGGUUUUAAAGACUAAAAGAUACUUCUAAGCCAAACAAAAG